ACCCAGCCAAGAUUUUUAAUAUUAAAGUAGUCUGGGUGUGGUUCAUGCUACUGGAUAGGUUACACUCUAUACAAAUGAAGGAUUCUGCCCAGGACCAAUAAGAGGCAGAGCUCUGCCCAGGACCAAUCAAAGGCAUCCCAUCUGUGACCUAUGAGCAAAUGAAGGUUUCAGAAUGGACCAUUUACAGAAAUUCCCGUUUUUGACAUAAGGGAGGGGAGGUUCAGAGAGGGAAGGGCCUAUCCAGUGGCUCAUGCCUGAAAUCCCAGCAUUUUGAGAGGCUGAGGCUGGAGGAUGGCUUGAGGCCAGGAGUUUGAGGCUGCAAUUGAGGCAGGAGAAUAGUGUCUGGAGGCAGGAAACCUAAGGCCAACCCACAGCUGCCUUCUUGGAAUUGGACUGAAAGAAAAACCCCACCUUUCCAUGACCAAGUGAUGAGGGGCCAAAGGCCCCUCUCUCUCUGAACCUCCCCUCCCUUAUGUCAAAAAUGGGAAUUUCUGUAAAUGGUCCAUUCUGAAAUCUUCAUUUGCUCAUAGGUCACAAGUGGGAUGCCUCUGAUUGGUCCUGGGCAGAGUUCUGCGUCUUAUUGGUCCUGGGCAGAAUCUUUCAUUUGUAUAGAGUGUAACCUAUCAGACGCUGCUAAAGGGUGCUUAGGGGUGUUACCAUGCUCUUUCAAUUCAAUGAAAACCCCAAGAAACUUUACAAUCAGGGUUCUUGAGCCACUCUGUGGAGUGCACUUUCACUUCAAUAAAUGUAUGCUUUCAUCUUCUAUUGUUUUGUCUGUGCAUUUUGUUCAAUUCUUUGUUCAACACGCCAAAAACCUGGACAACUCAGUCAAGGCUUCCCAUCCUAUAACACAAUGAGCUAUGAUUGUGCCACUGCACUCAGUCUGGGCGACAGAGUGAGACCCUGCCUCUACAAUAAUAAUAAUAAUAAAAUAAAAGUAGAUUUGUGCAAUGGAACACUAUGCAGGCAUUAAAAAAAUCAUUCAUUAUGAAGACCAUGUAGCAACAAGGAAAACAUUUAUAAAUGUUUAGUGAAAAUAGCAGAACCCCAGAUGGUAUACCCUUUGACUAUAACCGUGCACACUGAGAGAGAGCAUGUAGACAGGGCCAGGAGGUAACAUGCAAAACAGGGUAGUUGUGCAGAGGAUAGGCUUAUAGUUACUUUUUUCUUUGCCAAAAUUAAAAACAAUUUUACUGUUACAUUCUUUUUUCAUAAUAGGAAUGACUAAUUCCUGCCCUUCUACCAUGCUGGCUUGUUCAGCGGACCAAAUGAAAAACUGAGAAAACUGUUGUGUCUUCCCGUAGGAUGUUGGAGUGAAUCUACCAUGCAUGACUCAUGUUUCCAUCCCUAUCAUCCUGGGUAGGGAAGCACCAAGCUGAGGACUCUGGAUCCUUUCAGGCUCUAAUGACAAUGCACAUCCAGCAUUUGUGGACUACAAAUGGGGACAGCAAGAGAGAGAAAACCUGGGGAGAACGGAAGAAACCAUGCUUUGUAGAAUGGAUCCUGCUUCAGAAUUGCUGAUCUCAUCAACCACAUGUUUAUAGAGAGAGCAGUGGCCCUUAAGGAACUGGAGAGAAUGCUCUGAUUUACUUCUGUCCGGCAUGGUGAACAGCAGGAUUGGCUGUAGCUGUUCUCUUUGCCAAGGACAGAUCUGAUCUGAUUGCCUUGAGGUGAAAGUGAGGAAGUGAGGAGCGUCUCUGCCCGGCCACCCAUCGUCUGAGAUGUGGGGAGCGCCUCUGCCCCGCCGCCCCGUCUGGGAUGUGAGGAGCGCUUCGGCCCGGCCGCGACCCCGUCUGGGAGGUGAGGAGCGUCUCUGCCCGGCCGCCCCGUCUGAGAAGUGAGGAGACCCUCCACCUGGCAACUGCCCCAUCUGAGAACGGCAUUCCAGAUUUUUCUGCAGUCCAGAAUAGAGCACCACCACCAUAGCAUUUCAAGCUCAUUCUAAGUUCAUCUUAUCAAUGACAAGAGGAGACACGUUGUUCAUUCAUGUAUGAGGUAGUACUUUCCAAUUGAAGACAUUGCUUUGAAAGAGACUGCCAAAUUGGUUUCAUUGAGAAGGAAUGAAAGAAGCUAAAAGGCUUUCACCUGAGAUUUGACAAUAGCCAGAAAACCUCUGUUAAUAAUGAAUGUUUCCCUAUCUGCAAAGUGAAGAUAUGUUUCAAUGCUUCAACGCAUAGGAAGUCUGUAGAACAGUGCAAAGAAUAUACAGGCAUACCUUGAAGAUAUUACAGUUUUGGUUCCAGACCAUCAUAAAAAGGUGGAUAUUGCAAUAAGGCUGGAGUGCAGUGGCGUGAUCUCGGCUCGCACAACCUCCACCUCCCAGCCGCCUGCCUUGGCCCCCCAAAGUGCCGAGAUUGCAGCCUCUGCCCGGCCGCCACCCCGUCUGGGAAGUGAGGAGCGUCUCUGCCUAGCCGCCCAUCGUCUGGGAUGUGAGGAGCCCCUCUGCCUGGCUGCCCAGUCUGGAAAAUGAGGAGCGUCUCUGCCCGGCCGCCAUCCCAUAUAGGAAGUGAGGAGGGCCUCUUCCCGACAGCCAUCCCAUCUAGGAAGUGAGGAGCGUCUCUGCCCGGCCGCCCAUCGUCUGAGAUGUGGGUAGCACCUCUGCCCCGCCACCCCGUCCGGGAUGUGAGGAGCGCCUCUACCCGGCCGCGACCCUGUCUGGGAGGUGAGGAGCGUCUCUGCCCGGCCGCCCCGUCUGAGAAGUGAGGAGACCCUCCGCCUGACAACCGCCCCGUCUGAGAAGUGAGGAGCCCCUCCACCCGGCAGCCUCCCCGUCAGAGAAGUGAGGAGCCCCUCCGCCCGGCAGCCACCCCGUCUGGGAAGUGAGGAGCGUCUCCGCCCGGCAGCCACCCCGUCCGGGAGGGAGGUGGGGGGGUCAGCCAGCCGCCCCGUCCAGGAGGGAGGUGGGCGGGUCAGCCCCCUGCCCGGCCGGCCGACCCGUCCAGGAGGGAAGUGGGGGGGUCAGCCCCCCGCCCGGCCAGCCGCCCCGUCCGGGAGGUGAGGGGCGCCUCUGCCCGGCCGCCCCUACUGGGAAGUGAGGAGCUCCUCUGCCCGGCCAGCCGCC
rnacentral:lncRNA from 10 species